GAUGAACGCUGGCGGCGUGCCUAAUACAUGCAAGUCGAGCGAACAGACGAGGAGCUUGCUCCUCUGACGUUAGCGGCGGACGGGUGAGUAACACGUGGAUAACCUACCUAUAAGACUGGGAUAACUUCGGGAAACCGGAGCUAAUACCGGAUAAUAUAUUGAACCGCAUGGUUCAAUAGUGAAAGACGGUUUUGCUGUCACUUAUAGAUGGAUCCGCGCCGCAUUAGCUAGUUGGUAAGGUAACGGCUUACCAAGGCAACGAUGCGUAGCCGACCUGGGAGGGUGAUCGGCCACACUGGAACUGAGACACGGUCCAGACUCCUACGGGAGGCAGCAGUAGGGAAUCUUCCGCAAUGGGCGAAAGCCUGACGGAGCAACGCCGCGUGAGUGAUGAAGGUCUUCGGAUCGUAAAACUCUGUUAUUAGGGAAGAACAAAUGUGUAAGUAACUAAGCACGUCUUGACGGUACCUAAUCAGAAAGCCACGGCUAACUACGUG
rnacentral:rRNA from 1 species